CUUAUAAAGAAUAAUCUUUUUUUAGAAA
rnacentral:tRNA from 4 species